rnacentral:tRNA from 1 species
UCCCUGGUGGCUCAGAGGUUAAAGCGUCUGCCUCCAAUGCGCGAGACCCGGGUUCGAUCCCUGGGUUGGGAA